GCCAGUCACGUGUGGUUGUUAACAAAGAAGCAAAACAGAGUCAUAUUCCUCUGCAGCGCAAGUUAGUGAGAUAGUAUGUGACUCACCGCGGCGGCUGAGUCAGAGGCCAGUCUAGCAGCGUAGCGGGCGAUGAGACUGUGCUCUUCAUCCUGGUGGUUACUGCUCUCCAGCAAACUGUUUACAGAAAGAUCUCUAAGAUGAUACUACUGCACAGAGUCAAGAGAGGCGGAGGCAGCAGGAGAGAGGAACAGCAAGGACUAAAGCAGAUGAUUCCUACAAUCUUAGCACCCUUACAAAAUAGUCCAUUUGGAUGGAUACUUCAGUAAACGGUCAGUAGCUUCCACUGAAUAAUUUUGUUAAGGUCUGAGUUUCCUUUCAGAGAAAAGGAACAAUUCCAAUACUGUAGAAAACUUUGAGAUGUAUUGUACAGCAUUUAUUGUAACUCAUGAACGCACUAAAGUCCAAGAAUCGAAAUCCAAUCAAACUAUUUAAUGUAACGGUCCAAGUUGUUCUAAUAGAGGACCAACAUAAACACCCAGAUGUUCUCUGAAAAUAACUGACUACUGCCACUAAUCAAAUUAAAGGAAAAGCAGCAAAUUCAAAGCUGUCAUCAAAAGCACAUUAAAAUGACAAUUCUAGGGCAGUAAACUAGAUUUUUACUAUGUGAAGAGCAAAACAAAUGCAACUUUCUACAGCCCUGUAACAUCUUAAUGAGAAAGACAAUGUUGAUUUAGCCUUCAAAAAUGAUUGCUAAGUAGCACAACAGCUGGCAAAAGCAUUAUGGUGUAUGAAAAAAGUGUUACAUUUUCUAAUGGCUUAGCUACAUUACUGUAUGUCAGCUGUUAAAAGACAAGUCAAUGGUUUGUGAAUAGACAUUCUUAAUUUAUUCUGCUUGACGUGAGUAGUGUAUGCAGUAUUAAGGCUUGUAGCUCCAAUUAAUAAAGGGAGAGCCGUGCCAGGGGUGGUGUAAAUACAAUGUGAAUACAGUGGCUUCAGAAAGUAUUCAAACCCCUUGACUUUUUCCACAUUUUGUCGUUGCAGCCUGAAUUUAAAAUUGAUUACAAUUAGACGUUGUGUCUCUGGCCAAUACACAAUACCCCAUAAUGUCAAAGUGGAAUUAUGUUUUUAUAAAUUUUUACGAAUUAAUUAAAAAUUAAAAGCUGUUUUCAGUCAAUAAGUAUUCAACCCCUUUAUUAUAGCAUUCCUAAAUAAGUCCAGGAGUAAAACUUUGCUUAACAAGUCACAUAAUAAGUUGCAUAGACUUUGUGUGCAAUAAUAGUGUUUCAAAUUACUAUAUAUUUUUUGGGGGUUUACUUUUACCCCUUUUUCGUGAUAUACAAUUGGUAUUUACAGUCUUGUCCCAUCGCUAGCGGCCGGAGUCAGCUUGCAGGCGCCCGGCCCGCCACAAGGAGUCACUAGACCGCAAUGGGACAAGGAAAUCCCAGCCAGCCAAACCCUCCCCUAACCCAGAGGAUGCUGGGCCGAUUGCGCACCGCCUCAUGGGUCUCCCGGUCACAGCCGGCGGUGACACAACCUGGGAUCAAACCAUGUUGACCGUUGCGCCACACGGAAGGCCCUUAACAUGAUUUUUGAUUGACUACCUCAUCUCUGUACCCCCUCAGUUGAGCAGUGAAUUUCAAACACAGAUUCAACCACAAAGACGAGGGAAUUUUUCCAAAGGCACCUAUUGGUAUAUGGGUAAAAAAUGCAGGCAUUGCAUACAUCCCUUUGAGCAAGGUGAAAAUAUUAAUUACACUUUGAAUAGUGUAUCAAUACGCUACAAAGUUUCAGGCGUCAUUUCUAACUCAGUUGCCGGAGAGGAAGGAAACCCUUCAGUAUUUCAGCAUGAUACUAAUGGUGACUUUAAAACAGUUACAGAGUUUAAUGGCUGUGCAAAUGGCUGUGUAAAACUAUUCCAAAACAUGUGUUCUGUUUGCAAUGAGGCACUAAAGUAAAACUGCAAAAAAUGUGGCAAAGAAAUGCACUGCCCUGAAUACAAACUGUUAAGUUUGGAGCAAAUCCAACACAGCACAUCACUUAGUACCACUCUUCAUAUUUUCAAGCAUGGUCGUGGCUGCAUCAUGUAAUGGGUAUGCUUGUCAUCAGCAAGGACCAGGGAGUUUUUUUUAAAGAUAAAAAGAAACAAAAUAGAGGUAAGCAUAUGCAAGGAAAACCUGGUUCAGUCUGCUUUCCAAUAGACACCGGGAGACAAAUUCACCUUUCAGCAGGACAAUGACCUAAAACACAAGGCCAAAUAUACACUGGAGUUUCUUACCAAGAUGGCAUUGAAUGUUCCUGAGUGGCCUAGUUAUACAGUUGAAGUCGGAAGUUUACAUACACCUCAGCCAAAUACAUUUAAACUCAGUUUUUCACAAUUCCUUACAUUUAAUCCUAGUAAACAUUCCCUGUCUUAGGUCAGUUAGGAUCACCACUUUAUUUUAAGAAUGUGAAAUGUCAGAAUAAUAGUAGAGAGAAUGAUUUAUUUCAGCUUUUAUUUCUUACAUCACAUUCCCAGUGGGUCAGAAGUUUACAUACACUCAAUUAGUAUUUGGUAGCAUUACUUUUAAAUAGUUUAACUUGGGUCAAACGUUUCAGGUAGCCUUCCACAAGCUUCCCACAAUAAGUUGGGUGAAUUUUCGCCCAUUCCUCCUGACAGAGCUGGUGUAACUGAGUCAGGCUUGUAGGCUUCCUUGCUCGCACAUGCUUUUUCAGUUCUACCCACAAUUUUUCUUUAGGAUUGAAGUCAGGGCUUUGUGAUGGCCAUUCCAAUACCUUGACUUUGUUGUCCUUAAACCAUUUUGCCACAACUUUGGAAGUAUGCUUGGGGUCACUGUCCAUUUGGAAGACCCAUUUGUGACCAAGCUUUAACUUCCUGACUGAUGUCUUGAGAUGUUACUUCAAGCUAUCCACAUAAUUUUCCUGCCUCAUGAUGCCAUCUAUUUUGUGAAGUGCACCAGUCCCUCCUGCAGCAAAGCACCCCCCAACAUGAUGUUGCCACCCCCGUGCUUCACGGUUGGGAUGAUGUUCUUCGGCUUGCAAGCCUCCCCCUUUUCCCUCCAUACAUAACGAUGGUCAUUAUGGCCAAACAGUUCUAUUUUUGUUUCAUCAGACCAGAGAACAUUUCUCCAAAAAGUACAAUCUUUGUCACCAUGUGCAGUUGCACACCGUAGUCUGGCUUUUUAUGGCGGUUUUGGAGCAGUGGCUUUUUCCUUGCUGAAUGGCCUUUCAGGUUAUGUCGAUAUAGGACUCGUUUCACUGUAGAUAUAGAUACUUUGUACCUGUUUCCUCCAGCAUCUUCACAAGGUCCUUUGCUGUUGUUCUGGGAUUGAUUUGCACUUUUCGCACCAGAGUACGUUCUCUAGGAGACAGAACGUGUCUCCUUCCUGAGGAGUAUGACAGCUGCGUGGUCCCAUGGUGUUUAUACUUGCGUACUAUUGUUUGUACAGAUGAACUUGGUACCUUCAGGCGCUUGGAAAUUGCUCCCAAGGAUGAACCAAUUUGAAGGUAGGUCUUGAAAUACAUCCACAGGUACACCUCCAAUUGACUCAAAUGAUGUCAAUUAGCCUAUCAGAAGCUUCUAAAGCCAUGACAUAAUUUUCUGGAAUUUUCCAAGCUGUUUAAAGACACAGUCAACUUAGUGUAUGUACACUUCUGACCCACUGGAAUUGUGAUACAGUGAAAUAAUCUGUCUGUAAACAAUUGUUGGAAAAAUUACUUAUGAUAUGCAUACAGUAGAUGUCCUAACCGACUUGCCAAAACUAUAGUUUGUUAACAAGAAAUUUGUGGAGUGGUUGAAAAACGAAUUUUAAUGACUCCAACCUAAGUGUAUGUAAACUUCUGACUUCAACUGUAGUUUUGUCUUAAAUUGGCUUGAAAUUCUAUGGCAAAACUUGAAAAUGGCUAUCUAGCAAUGAUCAAAAAACAACUUGACAGAGCUUGAAGAAUUCUAAAAAGAAUGUGCAAAUAUUGUAAAAUCAAGCUGUGCAAAGCUCUUAGAGACUUACCCAGAAAGAUUCACAGCUGUAAUCGCUGCCAAAGGUGAUUCUAACAUGUAUUGACUCAGCGGUGUGAAUACUUAUGUAAAUUAGAUAUUCUGUUGUUAAUUUUCAAUACAUUUGCUAAAAUUUCUUACAUUUUUUUCUCACUUUGUCAUUAUGGUAUAUUGUGUGUAGAUGGGCGAGAGAGAAAAAAUAUUUGAUACAUGUUGAAUUCAGGCUAUAACACAACAAAAUGUGGAAUAAGUGAAGGGGUAAGAAUAUUUUCUGAAGGCACUCUAGCUAGUAGUUUCCACUGUUACUUUACAGACAGAGGAAUCCAGACUAACCAUGACGUAGGGUUGUGUUGUAGGAGAUUCACAUACAGCCCAAUGAGAACAUGUUCAUCAGCCAGUCUAUCGGCCACAUCGAGACUGUAGUUUAACCUGGAACAGUGUAGGGUUUCAGAACACAAACACAAACGACACACAUGAUGAGAACAAGGAGAAAGGAGUACCGGACAAGAACAGGUCUGGAGAGAGACAGAAUGUCUUCUCAGUCAUUGAAUGAUCAAUAGAAGAAAACACUAAACUGUGUUAUGCUAUCCCUGUUGUAUUCUCUUUUGAUACUAAUACUAUGGAUAGGAAUGUGAUGCUGUACCUGUACUGCAUUUUCAAAUAAUUUACAGUACACAGAGAGAAGAAACAUGCAUUUAUAUCUCUAAUCCUAUAUCAUAAUCCCUUUAUGGGAAUUUUAUCUGAAUAGACAGUGUUUAGGU